rnacentral:rRNA from 1 species
GAGGGGCAUGUGAGGGCUGUCGCUGACUCAAAGUCGUGCACGCCCGAGUGUGUCCUCUCGCAUAAUAAUCCAUCUCACCCUUUGUGCAUCGCCGCGUGGGCACCCUUUGGGAUCAUCUCGGAGGGGGCUCGCGUUUUCACACAAACCCCCCUUUUAAAAGUGUAGAAUGACCUCAUUUAUGCGCUAACACGCAAUCAAUACAACUUUCAACAACGGAUCUCUUGGCUCUCGCAUCGAUGAAGAACGCAGCGAAAUGCGAUACGUAAUGUGAAUUGCAGAAUUCAGUGAAUCAUCGAAUCUUUGAACGCACCUUGCGCCCCUUGGUAUUCCGAGGGGCACACCCGUUUGAGUGUCGUGAAAACCUCAACCUCCUUGGUUUCUUCUGGAGACCAAAGGCAGGCUUGGACUUUGGAGGCCUUUGCUGGAACCUCUCUCUUUUGAAGGCCAGCUCCUCUUAAACGAAUUAGCAGGGUCCUCUUUGCCGAUCCUCGACGUGUGAUAAGAUGUUUCCAUGUCUUGGUUUCUGGCUCUGUCACCUUUGGGACCCGCUUCUAACCGUCUUGACCUUGCGUCGAGACAACGUUCGAGCAUGUCUCCCUUCUCGGGAAGCUCCCUCGACCCCACGAACCCUUGACCUCAAAUCGGGUGAGACUACCCGCUGAACUUAAGCAUAUCAAUAAGCGGAGGAAAAGAAACUAACAAGGAUUCCCCUAGUAACUGCGAGUGAAGCGGGAAAAGCUCAAAUUUAAAAUCUGGCGGUCUUUGGCCGUCCGAGUUGUAAUUUARAGAAGCGUCUUCCGCGCUGGACGUGA